GCAAGGCAUACUAUACAUUCGUGCAUAUGUGAAUUUGAAAAUCUGGUACAAAUUCAUUGUCUUCCUCAGACAUCAGUUAAUAGUCCGAAUGUACAUUUAAUUGUAUUUUUUUUACAUUGAGGUUAUUUAACUUUAAUCUACCAUACUGAGUCCCUGACAAUAGUUUUAACAGAGCAAAAUAUUCUCUCUGCUAUCCCUCUUUCACAGUUCCCCCAUCUCUGGAGUGGUUGAUAAAAGCCUGGGUCUAAACUCUGGCUCUGACAAAAAUAGAAAAAGCUGAGAGCGACAGGACAGUCCAAUCUGACACGCUGUCAACAUGAUUCCACUACUCCCACCUCAGAGCCAACCGUCUGCGGAGAUGGUCAGACAAAACAGCAGCCAUGGAUGACCAGAACCCACUGCAGCUACAGAGAGCAGAUAGGGUUUAAACCAACACCCCCUUUUCAUCUCCUAUGGUGAUCGGUGUGGAUGGAUCCAAGUGAGGAUUAACAACCUACAAGACCAUGCUGAGAGACUUCCUGUCAAACACUGGUAACCCACAGCGACACAGAAAGGACAACAGAGCCAAUGUGUAUAACUGUGAAGGAUGCAGACUGAGGCUUAGCAGGAGGAAGCACACACUCCUACUCACCUGCCAAAUGUCUAAUGUCAAUUUAGCCACCCACCAAUCAAAACCAUAGGAUACAGCACGAGAGGCUGUGUGUCUAUGUGUGUGUCUGAACAGAUUAUUUCAAACUGGACAAUGAACCACUAAAGUCUAUAAAAUGUCCAAAUAUGAUACUAUACAUUGUGACUGACAAGGCACAGUAGGUGUACUAAGUCCUGGUGUUAAAAAGAAAAACAAAAGAAACAUUUAAGGUGAAGAUUCCCUGAGCUUCAGCAGACUACAGUGGCAAAUUUAUUGUAAGGCUCGUGAAAACAUAUUAAUGUAGGCUUUAGAUAGUUGAAAAAUGAUACUAUUCUGUAAGACUGCAUUAUUAACUGCAUAUAACACCACAUCCUGUGGAGCAGUCAUUUCUACAAUGUCACAUUCUUUAUGCCUAUUUAUUUAUUUUUCCAGCUUUUUUUUGCUUCAUUACUUCUCCCAAUCCUUUCACCCAUCUCAUGCCUGACAUGCUGA